AUUGAACGCUGGCGGCAGGCCUAACACAUGCAAGUCGAAUGGUAACAGGAAACAGCUUGCUGUUUCGCUGACGAGUGGCGGACGGGUGAGUAAUGUCUGGGAAACUGCCUGAUGGAGGGGGAUAACUACUGGAAACGGUAGCUAAUACCGCAUAACGUCGCAAGACCAAAGAGGGGGACCUUCGGGCCUCUUGCCAUCAGAUGUGCCCAGAUGGGAUUAGCUAGUAGGUGGGGUAACGGCUCACCUAGGCGACGAUCCCUAGCUGGUCUGAGAGGAUGACCAGCCACACUGGAACUGAGACACGGUCCAGACUCCUACGGGAGGCAGCGGUGGGGAAUAUUGCACAAUGGGCGCAAGCCUGAUGCAGCCAUGCCGCGUGUAUGAAGAAGGCCUUCGGGUUGUAAAGUACUUUCAGCGGGGAGGAAGGGAGUAAAGUUAAUACCUUUGCUCAUUGACGUUACCCGCAGAAGAAGCACCGGCUAACUCCGUG
rnacentral:rRNA from 1 species